rnacentral:miRNA from 1 species
CUCUAGCCACAGAUGCAGUGAU